rnacentral:rRNA from 1 species
UACGGAGGGUGCGAGCGUUGUCCGGAAUCACUGGGCGUAAAGGGCGCGUAGGCGGGAUGGCAAGUCGGUCGUGAAAUCCUUCGGCUCAACCGAAGAACGUCGGCCGAUACUGCCGUUCUUGAGGGAUGCAGAGGAGAUUGGAAUUCCCGGUGUAGCGGUGAAAUGUGUAGAGAUCGGGAGGAACACCGGUGGCGAAGGCGGGUCUCUGGGCAUUUCCUGACGCUGAGGCGCGAAAGCGUGGGGAGCAAACGGG